rnacentral:rRNA from 1 species
CCUACGGGGGGCAGCAGUAGGGAAUAUUGCUCAAUGGGGGAAACCCUGAAGCAGCAACGCCGCGUGGAGGAUGAAGGUUUUCGGAUUGUAAACUCCUUUUGUUAGAGAAGAUAAUGACGGUAUCUAACGAAUAAGCACCGGCUAACUACGUGCCAGCAGCCGCGGUAAUACGGAGGGUGCAAGCGUUACUCGGAAUCACUGGGCGUAAAGAGCGCGUAGGCGGGAUAGCAAGUCAGAUGUGAAAUCCUAUGGCUUAACCAUAGAACUGCAUUUGAAACUGUUAUUCUAGAGUAUGGGAGAGGUAGGUGGAAUGCUUGGGGUAGGGGUGAAAUGCGUAGAGAUCAAGAGGAAUACUCAUUGCGAAGGCGACCUGCUAGAACAUAACUGACGCUGAUGCGCGAAAGCGUGGGGAGCAAACAGGAUUAGAUACCCCGGUAGUC